rnacentral:lncRNA from 1 species
GGAGGGGUAUGAAGAGAGGGAAAUUGAAUUUCAGAUUUCAAAUUGUAAUUUGAGAGAUUGGGAACCAAAAACUCUAGAGAGAAGCUCCCACUCCCUCGACAAAAGCUCCAUCCCCGUUUCUACCGUGACCCGCUGUUCAACGGUCACUGAAGGACUUUUUCCAUUGUGCCGUCGAUUGGAAAGAGAUCAACCCCCGAAAACCCUGAAGUCGCCUCUCUUCCCG